CUAUAGUUUGCUGAGAAUGAUGGUUUCCAGCUUAGAGGCUGGUGCAUGGGUAGUAAAGGAAUUUACCCAAGACAGUAACAAGUUUAGAAAGACAGAUUUAUUAGAGAAAAGGGAACAGUACGUUGCGAGGGGGGAACAGUACGUUGCAAGGGAGCAACAGGCAAGAUAGUAAAAAGAAGGCUCUCUGCUGUCUGCAAAGAGGCAGGAGCUAGAGGGAAAUUUUAUAAGGUCAUGCUGCUUAGUCUGAAUGCUUACAGACAAGAUGCUUGGGUGCAUGUGAGCUGGUGAGC
rnacentral:lncRNA from 1 species